CCCGCGAGGGCUGCUGGAGGUAUCAGAAGUGAGAAUUCUGACAUGAGUAGCGACAAACAGUGUGAGAAACACUGUCGCCGAAAUUCCAAGGGUUCCUGCGCAAGGCUAAUCCACGCAGGGUGAGUCGGAUCCUAAGGCGAGGCCGAAAGGCGUAGUCGAUGGGAAUGCAGUUAAUAUUCUGCAGCCUGGUGGUAGUGACGGAUCUCGUAAAUUGUACAUCCUUAUUGGAUUGGUUGUGCAGUGAAGAGGUUCCAGGAAAUAGCUCCACCAUAUAGACCGUACCCCAAACCGACACAGGUGGUCAGGUAGAGAAUACCAAGGCGCUUGAGAGAACUCGGGUGAAGGAACUAGGCAAAAUGGCACCGUAACUUCGGGAGAAGGUGCGCCGGUGAGGGUGAAGCAUUUACUGCGUAAGCUCAUGCCGGUCGAAGAUACCAGGCCGCUGCGACUGUUUAUUAAAAACACAGCACUCUGCAAACACGAAAGUGGACGUAUAGGGUGUGACGCCUGCCCGGUGCCGGAAGGUUAAUUGAUGGGGUUAGCGCAAGCGAAGCUCUUGAUCGAAGCCCCGGUAAACGGCGGCCGUAACAAUAACGGUCCUAAGGUAGCGAAAUUCCUUGUCGGG
rnacentral:rRNA from 1 species